rnacentral:rRNA from 1 species
AUACGGAAGGUCCGGGCGUUAUCCGGAUUUAUUGGGUUUAAAGGGAGCGCAGGCGGAGAUGCAAGCGUGACGUCAAAUUUCGGGGCUCAACCCCGUCUCGCGUCGCGAACUGCGUCCCUUGGUUGCGGGAAGGGGAGGCGGAACUCGGGGUGUAGCGGGGAAAUGCGCAGAUAUCACGAAGAACUCCGAUCGCGAAGGCAGCCUUCCGGCCCGUCAACGACGCUCAUGCUCGAAGGUGCGGGUAUCAAACAGGAUUAGAUACCCUGGUAGUCCGCACAGUAAACGAUGGACACCCGCGGUUUGGCCUAUAUGGCUGAGCCGCCAAGCGAAAGCGUUAAGUGUCCCACCUGGGGAGUACGCCGGCAACGGUGAAACUCAAAUGAAUUGGCGGGG